UACGUAGGUGGCAAGCGUUGUCCGGAUUUACUGGGCGUAAAGAGCGCGCAGGCGGUCGUUCAAGUCGCGUGUGAAAGCCCCCGGCUCAACUGGGGAGGGUCACGCGAUACUGAUCGACUCGAAGGCAGGAGAGGGAAGUGGAAUUCCCGGUGUAGUGGUGAAAUGCGUAGAGAUCGGGAAGAACAUCAGUGGCGAAGGCGGUCUGCUGGGCCGUUGCUGACGCUGAGGCGCGACAGCGUGGGGAGCAACAGG
rnacentral:rRNA from 1 species